rnacentral:rRNA from 2 species
GGACUACCAGGGUAUCUAAUCCUGUUUGCUCCCCUAGCUUUCGUGCCUCAGUGUCAGGAGUUGUCCAGGGACUCGCCUUCGCCACUGGUGUUCCUCUCGAUAUCUACGCAUUUCACUGCUACACCGAGAAUUCCAGUCCCCCCUCCAAUCCUCUAGCCAGGCAGUUUCCAAUGCCAUUUCGGAGUUGAGCUCCGAGAUUUCACAUCCGACUUACCUAGCCACCUACGCACCCUUUACGCCCAGUGAAUCCGAACAACGCUUGGGACCUCUGUAUUACCGCGGCGGCUGGCAC